rnacentral:rRNA from 1 species
UGGAUCCAGACUUUGAUUCUGGCUCAGGAUGAACGCUAGCGACAGGCUUAACACAUGCAAGUCGAGGGGCAGCGUGGGUGUAGCAAUACAUCUGACGGCGACCGGCGCACGGGUGAGUAACACGUAUGGAACCUGCCCCCUGCCGGGGGAUAAUCGGAAGAAAUUCCGUCUAAUACCGCAUAACACAGUUCACGGGCAUCCGUGGGCUGUCAAAGGAGAGAUCCGGCAGGGGAUGGACAUGCGGCGCAUUAUCUUGUUGGCGGGGUAACGGCCCACCAAGGCGACGAUGCGUAGGGGUUCUGAGAGGAAGGUCCCUCACAUUGGAACUGAGACACGGUCCAAACUCCUACGGGAGGCAGCAGUGAGGAAUAUUGGUCAAUGGGCGGAAGCCUGAACCAGCCAAGUCGCGUGAGGGAAGACGGUCCUAUGGAUUGCAAACCUCUUUUGCAGGGGAGCAAGACGCGGUACGUGUACCGCUUUGGAGAGUACCCUGAGAAAAAGCAUCGGCUAACUCCGUGCCAGCAGCCGCGGUAAUACGGAGGAUGCGAGCGUUAUCCGGAUUUAUUGGGUUUAAAGGGUGCGCAGGCGGACUGGUAAGUCGGCGGUAAAAAUGCGGUGCUCAACGCCGUAGUGCCGUUGAAACUGCCGGUCUUGAGUGAGCGAGAAGUAUGCAGAAUGCGUGGUGUAGCGGUGAAAUGCAUAGAUAUCACGCAGAACUCCGAUUGCGAAGGCAGCAUACCGGCGCUCAACUGACGCUGAGGCACGAAAGCGUGGGGAUCGAACAGGAUUCGAUACCCUGGUAGUCCACGCAGUAAACGAUGAAUGCUAACUGUCCGGGACGAUUAGGUUCUGGGCGGUACAGCGAAAGUGUUAAGCAUUCCACCUGGGGAGUACGCCGGCAACGGUGCAACUCAAAUGAAUUGACGGA